CAGUAGCCGCGGGAAUACGUAGGUGGCAAGCGUUGUCCGGAAUUAUUGGGCGUAAAGGGCUCGCAGGCGGUUUCUUAAGUCUAAUGUGAAAGCCCCCGGCUCAACCGGGGAGGGUCAUUGGAAACUGGGAAACUUGAGUGCAGAAGAGGAGAGUGGAAUUCCACGUGUAGCGGUGAAAUGCGUAGAGAUGUGGAGGAACACCAGUGGCGAAGGCGACUCUCUGGUCUGUAACUGACGCUCAUGCACGAAAGCGUGGGGAGCAAACAGGAUUAGAUACCCGAGUAGUCCCUGUCUCUUAUCC
rnacentral:rRNA from 1 species